UACGUAGGUCCCGAGCGUUGUCCGGAUUUAUUGGGCGUAAAGCGCGCGCAGGUGGUUUAAUAAGUCUGAUGUAAAAGGCAGUGGCUCAACCAUUGUGUGCAUUGGAAACUGUUAGACUUGAGUGCAGUAGAGGAGAGUGGAAUUCCAUGUGUAGCGGUGAAAUGCGUAGAUAUAUGGAGGAACACCAGUGGCGAAGGCGACUUUCUGGUCUGUAACUGACACUGAGGCGCGAAAGCGUGGGGAGCAAACAGG
rnacentral:rRNA from 1 species